UUACUUAAUAAAUGCCUGGAACAGAAC
rnacentral:sRNA from 1 species